rnacentral:rRNA from 1 species
UUAUUAAAAACCCUGGUAGUCCAUGCCGUAAACGAUGUCUACUAGCCGUUGGUGCCUUUGAGGCUUUAGUGGCGCAGCUAACGCGAUAAGUAGACCGCCUGGGGAGUACGGUCGCAAGACUAAAACUCAAAUGAAUUGACGGGGGCCCGCACAAGCGGUGGAGCAUGUGGUUUAAUUCGAUGCAACGCGAAGAACCUUACCUGGUCUUGACAUACUAAGAACUUUCCAGAGAUGGAUUGGUGCCUUCGGGAACUUACAUACAGGUGCUGCAUGGCUGUCGUCAGCUCGUGUCG